UCAUCCAAUAUAAAUUGUGGAACCUGAGUAGUCUUUCCAGAGCUUGUUUCCCCACACACAACAAGAAAAUUGUUCUCCUUUAGCAUUUGCAAAAUAUCAACCUUCAAUCCAGCAAUUGGAAGAGCAGUUCUAGUUUUCAACAUUUCCUUGUAUUUCUGCAUUUUCUUUUUCUUCUCUUGCUCCUGUCUCAAAUGAGAACUUUCCACAUUCCUGGUAUAGUUUUCUCCUCCUGCUGC
rnacentral:misc_RNA from 1 species